GGGCAAGAUAGGUGAAGUUAGCUAACCAGCGAGCUGGUUGCCAAACUUCACGAGUCUUAUUCGCACCUUCGGUGCUCAACGUAAAAACCAAUUUUAUAGGCA
rfam:Legionella jamestowniensis strain JA-26-G1-E2 Ljam_ctg013, whole genome shotgun sequence.